AGAGUUUGAUCCUGGCUCAGGACGAACGCUGGCGGCGUGCCUAGUACAUGCAAGUCGAACGAACUCUGGUAUUGAUUGGUGCUUGCAUCAUGAUUUACAUUUGAGUGAGUGGCGAACUGGUGAGUAACACGUGGGAAACCUGCCCAGAAGCGGGGGAUAACACCUGGAAACAGAUGCUAAUACCGCAUAGAUCCAAGAACCGCAUGGUUCUUGGCUGAAAGAUGGCUUCGGCUAUCACUUUUGGAUGGUCCCGCGGCGUAUUAGCUAGAUGGUGGGGUAACGGCUCACCAUGGCAAUGAUACGUAGCCGACCUGAGAGGGUAAUCGGCCACAUUGGGACUGAGACACGGCCCAAACUCCUACGGGAGGCAGCAGUAGGGAAUCUUCCACAAUGGACGAAAGUCUGAUGGAGCAACGCCGCGUGAGUGAAGAAGGGUUUCGGCUCGUAAAACUCUGUUGUUAAAGAAGAACAUAUCUGAGAGUAACUGUUCAGGUAUUGACGGUAUUUAACCAGAAAGCCACGGCUAACUACGUGCCAGCAGCCGCGGUAAUACGUAGGUGGCAAGCGUUGUCCGGAUUUAUUGGGCGUAAAGCGAGCGCAGGCGGUUUUUUAAGUCUGAUGUGAAAGCCUUCGGCUCAACCGAAGAAGUGCAUCGGAAACUGGGAAACUUGAGUGCAGAAGAGGACAGUGGAACUCCAUGUGUAGCGGUGAAAUGCGUAGAUAUAUGGAAGAACACCAGUGGCGAAAGCGGCUGUCUGGUCUGUAACUGACGCUGAGGCUCGAAAGUAUGGGUAGCAAACAGGAUUAGAUACCCUGGUAGUCCAUACCGUAAACGAUGAAUGCUAAGUGUUGGAGGGUUUCCGCCCUUCAGUGCUGCAGCUAACGCAUUAAGCAUUCCGCCUGGGGAGUACGGCCGCAAGGCUGAAACCCAAAGGAAUUGACGGGGGCCCGCACAAGCGGUGGAGCAUGUGGUUUAAUUCGAAGCUACGCGAAGAACCUUACCAGGUCUUGACAUACUAUGCAAAUCUAAGAGAUUAGACGUUCCCUUCGGGGACAUGGAUACAGGUGGUGCAUGGUUGUCGUCAGCUCGUGUCGUGAGAUGUUGGGUUAAGUCCCGCAACGAGCGCAACCCUUAUUAUCAGUUGCCAGCAUUAAGUUGGGCACUCUGGUGAGACUGCCGGUGACAAACCGGAGGAAGGUGGGGAUGACGUCAAACCAUCAUGCCCCUUAUGACCUGGGCUACACACGUGCUACAAUGGAUGGUACAACGAGUUGCGAACUCGCGAGAGUAAGCUAAUCUCUUAAAGCCAUUCUCAGUUCGGAUUGUAGGCUGCAACUCGCCUACAUGAAGUCGGAAUCGCUAGUAAUCGCGGAUCAGCAUGCCGCGGUGAAUACGUUCCCGGGCCUUGUACACACCGCCCGUCACACCAUGAGAGUUUGUAACACCCAAAGUCGGUGGGGUAACCUUUUAGGAACCAGCCGCCUAAGGUGGGACAGAUGAUUAGGGUGAAGUCGUAACAAGGUAACC
rnacentral:rRNA from 1 species